CCUGUCGAAACCGUCGUCCGGCCCUGUCAUGAUAAUCUCUAGACCUGGGUCGGGAGUCACAGUAGCUGCCCUCAUGCCUAGCCCUCUUCUCGCUGCCCCCUUGGGCCUCGCGACGAAGAUGCUCCAUAGUACUAGCAUGGUCAACUACGUCUAAAAAAGAUCGACCCGCAGAAACUAAGGACUGGGUCUCAAGCCGAAGCUGCAAUCUCAACCCACGAACAAAGCACCUAACUCUCUCUUCCUCUGUAGGUAAUAUCAUCUCGGAAUGACGGGAGAGCUUGUGAAACCUAGUCUCGUACUCUGCCACCGACAUGGUGCCCUGCUCCAACCUACAGAACUGAUCCCUUAGGCGGUCUCUGACGCUACGAGGAAUAAACUUGGCCAAAAAGGCCUCAGAAAACUCAUCCCAUGAUACCGGUGGAGAUCCAACUGGCCUGGUCUGAAUGAAUGUGCGCCACCACUGCCUGGCUGGCCCAUCUAGCUGGUAAGCAAUAAAGUCGGGCCCUCUAGACUCCACAAGGCCCAAAGUGCGAAGCCUCUCACGGCAAGUAGUAAGAAACUCGUGGGCAUCCUCACCCACAGC
rnacentral:lncRNA from 1 species